rfam:Isaria fumosorosea ARSEF 2679 scaffold_31, whole genome shotgun sequence.
CCUGGUUACAUGAUGAAAUAUUACGGAUGUAAACCUUUUGUCACAACUGAUGGCGCAAACCAUGUGGAAACUUUCCGUUGCCUUCCUUCUGAUCUACCAA